UGCUAAUACCGCAUAAUGCAGCGGUCACGCAUGUGGCAGUUGUUAAAGAAUUUCGGCAGAAGAUGGGCCUGCGUGUCAUUAGUUAGUUGGUAAGGUAACGGCUUACCAAGACGAUGAUGACUAGGGGGUCUGAGAGGAUGAUCCCCCACACUGGAACUGAGACACGGUCCAGACUCCUACGGGAGGCAGCAGUGAGGAAUCUUGCGCAAUGGGGGAAACCCUGACGCAGCCACGCCGCGUGCCAGAUGAAGGCCCUACGGGUCGUAAAUGGCUUUUGGUCGGGAAGAUAAGCCGGGUUUCGACCUGGUGUGACGGUACCGACUGAAUAAGCACCGGCUAACUCCGUGCCAGCAGCCGCGGUAAUACGGAGGGUGCAAGCGUUGUCCGGAAUCAUUGGGUGUAAAGGGUGCGUAGGCGGAUGCCUAAGUCUGGGGUGAAAUCUUGCAGCUUAACUGUAAAAUUGCCUUGGAUACUGGGUGUCUUGAGUACAGAAGAGGAUGGUGGAAUUCGUAGUGUAGCGGUGAAAUGCAUAGAUAUUACGAAGAACACCGGUGGCGAAAGCGGCCAUCUGGUCUGUUACUGACGCUGAGGCACGAAAGCGUGGGGAGCGAACAGGAUUAGAUACCCUGGUAGUCCACGCCGUAAACGAUGUGUGCUAGUUGUUGGCCUGUAUGGGCCAGUGACGUAGUUAACGCGCUAAGCACACCACCUGGGGAGUACGUUCGCAAGAAUGAAACUCAAAGGAAUUGACGGGGGCCCGCACAAGCGGUGGAGCAUGUGGCUUAAUUCGAUGCAACGCGAAGAACCUUACCUGGGCUAAAUCAUAGUGGAAAUAGCUAGAAAUAGCUAUGCCUUCGGGCCGCUA
rnacentral:rRNA from 1 species